AGACAGAUGUGGAGUUGGCAGAUGUAAUUGACAGUGAUAACAUACCUUGUAGUGCAGAAAUCCAAAUUGAUGAUGUGAUGUUGUUAGAUACAUCAUCUCAAGUACCAGCAGUUAGUGUUGAGGUUGAACAUUUGUCAGAAAAAGAAAACAUUAUAAACACUCCUCCACAUUUGACAGAGUCCCGGGUGACUGAUUAUAGUGCAGCUCCAUCACAAGGGUCAAGAAAUAUAUGGACCAGAGUGAUUCCAGAAGAAUUUCAUAUGUUAGUAUUAGGUUGUAAGUAUAU